CUACGACCAUAUCCCGUUAAAAAUAUCGGUCCUCUUACGAGCACCAAAGUUAAACAACGUAGAACAUGAUCAGUACCUAGAUGGGUGACCCCAUGAGAAUACGAAGUGCUGUCAG